rnacentral:rRNA from 1 species
CGUAAUAGCUCACUGGUCGAGUCGGCCUGCGCGGAAGAUGUAACGGGGCUAAACCAUGCACCGAAGCUGCGGCAGCGACACUAUGUGUUGUUGGGUAGGGGAGCGUUCUGUAAGCCUGUGAAGGUGGCCUGUGAGGGUUGCUGGAGGUAUCAGAAGUGCGAAUGCUGACAUAAGUAACGAUAAAGCGGGUGAAAAGCCCGCUCGCCGGAAGACCAAGGGUUCCUGUCCAACGUUAAUCGGGGCAGGGUGAGUCGACCCCUAAGGCGAGGCCGAAAGGCGUAGUCGAUGGGAAACAGGUUAAUAUUCCUGUACUUGGUGUUACUGCGAAGGGGGGACGGAGAAGGCUAUGUUGGCCGGGCGACGGUUGUCCCGGUUUAAGCGUGUAGGCUGGUUUUCCAGGCAAAUCCGGAAAACCAAGGCUGAGGCGUGAUGACGAGGCACUACGGUGCUGAAGCGACAAAUGCCCUGCUUCCAGGAAAAGCCUCUAAGCAUCAGGUAACAUCAAAUCGUACCCCAAACCGACACAGGUGGUCAGGUAGAGAAUACCAAGGCGCUUGAGAGAACUCGGGUGAAGGAACUAGGCAAAAUGGUGCCGUAACUUCGGGAGAAGGCACGCUGAUAUGUAGGUGAAGCGACUUGCUCGUGGAGCUGAAAUCAGUCGAAGAUACCAGCUGGCUGCAACUGUUUAUUAAAAACACAGCACUGUGCAAACACGAAAGUGGACGUAUACGGUGUGACGCCUGCCCGGUGCCGGAAGGUUAAUUGAUGGGGUUAGCGGCAACGCGAAGCUCUUGAUCGAAGCCCCGGUAAACGGCGGCCGUAACUAUAACGGUCCUAAGGUAGCGAAAUUCCUUGUCGGGUAAGUUCCGACCUGCACGAAUGGCGUAAUGAUGGCCAGGCUGUCUCCACCCGAGACUCAGUGAAAUUGAACUCGCUGUGAAGAUGCAGUGUACCCGCGGCAAGACGGAAAGACCCCGUGAACCUUUACUAUAGCUUGACACUGAACAUUGAGCCUUGAUGUGUAGGAUAGGUGGGAGGCUUUGAAGUGUGGACGCCAGUCUGCAUGGAGCCGACCUUGAAAUACCACCCUUUAAUGUUUGAUGUUCUAACGUUGGCCCGUAAUCCGGGUUGCGGACAGUGUCUGGUGGGUAGUUUGACUGGGGCGGUCUCCUCCUAAAGAGUAACGGAGGAGCACGAAGGUUGGCUAAUCCUGGUCGGACAUCAGGAGGUUAGUG